AUGGUCUUCGCCGCGCCGGCAGGGGUGGGAGGCGGCCCCCUCUCCGUCGCUCCCCCCGCCUCCAGCUCGGCCCCCUUCCUCCUCCGCGCCGGCGGCGACUCGCCGCAGCGCGGGAUGCUCCGCCGCCUCACCUUCCCACGGAGAGGAGGCGCCAGGGGACAGAGCCAGAGAAGAUGGGAUUGCCACAUAACUCGCUGUGCCGGCAAGGCGAAUGUGGUGACCGAGGAUGAUACGGCGAAAGUUGCUGCUGCUGAUGCCACCGCAGACCAAGCUGCCGAUGAUACCGCCGAUGUGCUCGAGUCCUUGAACCCUGACGACGACGUUGAUUCAGUUGCCUGGAUAAAGCAGCAGCCCCUCCCUUAUCCUGCAGAUGCUCUGGAGCCGUACAUAAGCAAGGAGACGGUGGAGCAGCACUGGGGAGUUCACCAGCGCAUGCAUGUGGACAGGCUCAACGGCAUGAUCGGCGGCAGCGAGUGGGAGCGGAUGUCGAUUGGGCAGAUGAUGCUCGCCUCAUUCAACGAGGGCAGGGAGCCACCCCACGCUCCCUUCUUCCAUGCCGCACAGGUAUGGAACCAUGAUUUCUACUGGCGAUCGAUGAAACCUGGCGGUGGAGGCAAGCCCCCGGAACGUCUUCUGAAGUUUAUUAACAGGGACUUCGGAUCCUAUGACGGCAUGAUCAAACAAUUCAUGGAUGCGGCAUUAACUCAGUUCGGUUCUGGAUGGGUUUGGCUUUCUUACAAGGGGAGCAAGUUACCUCAUGUGAAGUCAAAAAGCCCAAUCCCAUCUGACAAUUAUGGUAGGCUGGUCAUCUCAAAGUCUCCGAAUGCUAUCAACCCUCUUGUCUGGGGCCACUCUCCACUCCUUGCGAUUGAUGUUUGGGAGCAUGCCUACUACCUGGAUUAUGAGAAUCGAAGGGCUGAGUAUGUCUCUGCAGUUCUAGAGAAGCUCGUGUCAUGGGAAAUGGUGGAGUCCAGGCUCCGGAAAGCUGUUCUGCGAGCAAUAGAAAGAGACGGUCACACCAGCCCGAAGCAGCGAAGGAAGCAACUUGUGUCCCAGGCUAAAGGCCGCGUCGGGGAUGCAAGCACCAGCGGUGAGGCAAGACGGCGACCGAGAAGUAAGGAUCAGCAGGCCCCUUCCAGCGUGACAAUGGUGCCAGCAGGCGAGGCGGUACCGAACUGA
rnacentral:rRNA from 1 species